rnacentral:tRNA from 1 species
GGUGGCUCAGUGUUAGAAUGCUUGCCUUGCAUGCAAGAGGCCCUGGGUUCGAAUCCUUAGCACCA